CGUGUAGCGGAGAUGCAAGUUGGGAGUGAAAUCCCGGGGCUCAACCCCGGAACUGCUUUCAAAACUGCAUCCCUUGAGUAUCGGAGAGGCAAGCGGAAUUCCUAGUGUAGCGGUGAAAUGCGUAGAUAUUAGGAGGAACACCAGUGGCGAAGGCGGCUUGCUGGACGACAACUGACGCUGAGGCGCGAAAGCGUGGGGAGCAAACA
rnacentral:rRNA from 1 species